rnacentral:rRNA from 1 species
GGGCGAACACCGAUUGCGAAGGCAGGUCACUAACAACGUACUGACGCUGAUGGACGAAAGCGUGGGUAGCGAACGGGAUUAGAUACCCCGGUAGUCCACGCCGUAAACGAUGGAUACUAGCUGUCGGGACUUCGGUCUCGGCGGCCAAGCGAAAGUGAUAAGUAUCCCACCUGGGGAGUACGUUCGCAAGAAUGAAACUCAAAGGAAUUGACGGGGACCCG